rnacentral:lncRNA from 1 species
ACCAAUGUGAGUGUGGCCGAAUUCGGCCGGAAACGGCCGAAAACGUCCAACCCGAGGCAAACCGCCGCCGCAAGCGGCGUCGCCGUCGCCGGAGCACGGCGGAGCCGCCGUGCCGGAGUUGCGAUUUGGGCCGAAAGGGCCCCUGGGCCUAAUUUGGAUUUUUUUUGGAACACGUGCAGGUACCAGUAGUGCGUUUCAGUUCCCCGAGAAAAAUGCAGGGAAA